CCUACGGGUGGCAGCAGUGGGGAAUAUUGCACAAUGGGGGAAACCCUGAUGCAGCGAUGCCGCGUGGAGGAAGAAGGUUUUCGGAUUGUAAACUCCUUUUAUCAUGGACGAUAAGUACGGUACCUGAAGAAAAUGCUCCGGCUAACUACGUUCCAGCAGCCGCGGUAAUACGUAGGGAGCGAGCGUUGUCCGGAAUUACUGGGUGUUAAGGGAGCGUAGGCGGGACGGCAAGUCAGAUGUGAAAACUGUGGGCUCAACCUUCAGACUGCAUUUGAAACUGGUGGUCUUGAGUGAAGUAGAGGUAGGCGGAAUGCCUGGUGUAGCGGUGAAAUGCGUAGAUAUUAGGAAGAACAUCGGUGGCGAAGGCGGCUUACUAAGCUUUUACUGACGCUGAGGCUCGAAAGCGUGGGGAGCAAACAGGAUUAGAUACCCCUGUAGUC
rnacentral:rRNA from 1 species